AGUAAAUAGAUACCCGGGUAGUCCACGCCGUAAACGAUGAGUACUAGGUGUAGGAGGUAUCGACUCCUUCUGUGCCGCAGUUAAACACAAUAAGUACUCCGCCUGGGAAGUACGGUCGCAAGAUUAAAACUCAAAGGAAUUGACGGGGGCCCGCACAAGCAGCGGAGCAUGUGGUUUAAAUUCGAAGCAACGCGAAGAACCUUACCUAGACUUGACAUCCCCUGAAUAACGUAGAGAUACGCGAAGCCCUUCGGGGCAGGGAGACAGGUGGUGCAUGGUUGUCGUCAGCUCGUGUCGUGAGAUGUUGGGUUAAGUCCCGCAACGAGCGCAACCCUUAUCAUUAGUUGCUACCAUUUAGUUGAGCACUCUAGUGAGACUGCCCGGGUUAACCGGGAGGAAGGCGGGGAUGACGUCAAAUCAUCAUGCCCCUUAUGUCUAGGGCUACACACGUGCUACAAUGGUGAGAACAACGAGAUGCAAUACCGCGAGGUGGAGCAAAACUUCAAAACUCAUCUCAGUUCGGAUUGUAGGCUGAAACCCGCUUAC
rnacentral:rRNA from 1 species